rnacentral:rRNA from 1 species
AAUAGAUACCCCGGUAGUCCACGCCCUAAACGAUGUCUACUAGUUGUCGGGUCUUAAUUGACUUGGUAACGCAGCUAACGCGUGAAGUAGACCGCCUGGGGAGUACGGUCGCAAGAUUAAAACUCAAAGGAAUUGACGGGGACCCGCACAAGCGGUGGAUGAUGUGGAUUAAUUCGAUGCAACGCGAAAAACCUUACCUACCCUUGACAUGUCAGGAACCCUCGAGAGAUUGAGGGGUGCCCGGAAAGGGAGCCUGAACACAGGUGCUGCAUGGCUGUCGUCAGCUCGUGUCGUGAGAUGUUGGGUUAAGUCCCGCAACGAGCGCAACCCUUGUCAUUAGUUGCUACGAAAGGGCACUCUAAUGAGACUGCCGGUGACAAACCGGAGGAAGGUGGGGAUGACGUCAAGUCCUCAUGGCCCUUAUGGGUAGGGCUUCACACGUCAUACAAUGGUACAUACAGAGGGCCGCCAACCCGCGAGGGGGAGCUAAUCCCAGAAAGUGUAUCGUAGUCCGGAUCGCAGUCUGCAACUCGACUGCGU